rnacentral:lncRNA from 1 species
UGGCUGAAAUCGAACUUGCAUGAACAAGAUUCUUGAUUGUUCAACUCUGUAAAACACAUGGAAUCCCAAUUGACAUGGACUUAAGAAUAGAAGGCUAACGGAUCAAGGGUAAAUAAAGAAGCUAUGCACAACUCGGACGCACGAUGUAUUGCACGUAUCUCUACCACUACUAUCGAAGAUAAGCAUGCAUUGAUCGAGCCCAAAAUUAAAGGUUGUACGAGAAGAACGGCCACAUAGUCUGAUUUAUGUAUUGUCUUGAAGUGUUAACUUAAUGUGGUUAUUGUUAAUCCCUUUUUUGUAAAUGUUUAUCAUUUG